rnacentral:rRNA from 1 species
CGCGGCCUAUCAGCUUGUUGGUGGGGUAAUGGCCUACCAAGGCGACGACGGGUAGCCGGCCUGAGAGGGCGACCGGCCACACUGGGACUGAGACACGGCCCAGACUCCUACGGGAGGCAGCAGUGGGGAAUAUUGGGCAAUGGAGGAAACUCUGACCCAGCGACGCCGCGUGAGGGAUGAAGGCCUUCGGGUUGUAAACCUCUUUCAGCAGGGAAUAAGCGAAAGUGAAGGUACCUGCAGAAGAAGCACCGGCUAACUAUGUGCCAGCAGCCGCGGUAAUACAUAGGGUGCAAGCGUUGUCCGGAAUUAUUGGGCGUAAAGAGCUCGUAGGUGGUCGAUCACGUCGGAUGUGAAAGCCCGAGGCUUAACCUCGGUUCUGCAUUCGAUACGGGCUAGCUAGAGUGUGGUAGGGGAGAUCGGAAUUCCUGGUGUAGCGGUGAAAUGCGCAGAUAUCAGGAGGAACACCGGUGGCGAAGGCGGAUCUCUGGGCCAUUACUGACGCUGAGGAGCGAAAGCGUGGGGAGCGAACAGGAUUAGAUACCCUGGUAGUCCACGCCGUAAACGUUGGGAACUAGGUGUUGGCGACAUUCCACGUCGUCGGUGCCGCAGCUAACGCAUUAAGUUCCCCGCCUGGGGAGUACGG